CGGAAUUACCAGAAGUUAUUUGAUUAUAUCAACUCUAAUCCUAGUUUAAAUGCAGAGGUAAAAUUUGGUACUCUGGAAGAAUACUUCCAAACUGUUCAUGAGGAGGCUGAUAGAAUAAAUUAUUCACGUCCUGGCGAGGCUGGGUCUGGUCAGAUUGGAGGUUUUCCAUCUCUAUCUGGUGACUUCUUUACUUAUUGCUGAUAGGCAACAAGACUACUGGAGUGGCUAUUAUGUUUCAAGGCCUUUCUUCAAGGCUGUUGAUCGGGUACUAGAGGAAACUCUUCGUGCUACUGAAAUGAUGAUGGCUUUGUUACUUGGUUAUUGUCAGAGAGCACAAUGUGAAAAGUUGGCCACAGGAUUUGGCUAUAAGUUGACUGCUGCCAGGAGGAAUUUAGCUCUUUUUCAACACCAUGAUGGGGUGACUGGUACUGCUAAGGAUCAUGUUGUUCGCGACUACGGAAUUCGGAUGCAUACUUCAUUGCAUGACUUGCAGAUUUUCAUGUCUAAAGCUAUUGAAGUACUUCUUGGUAUCCACCAUGAAAAAUCUGAUCAUAACCCAUCCC
rnacentral:misc_RNA from 1 species